rnacentral:rRNA from 1 species
UACGGAGGGGGCUAGCGUUGUUCGGAAUUACUGGGCGUAAAGCGCGCGUAGGCGGACCUGCAAGUCGGGGGUGAAAGCCCGAGGCUCAACCUCGGAACUGCCUUCGAUACUGCGGGUCUCGAGUCCGGGAGAGGUGAGUGGAACUGCGAGUGUAGAGGUGAAAUUCGUAGAUAUUCGCAAGAACACCAGUGGCGAAGGCG